AUUGAACGCUGGCGGCAGGCCUAACACAUGCAAGUCGAGCGAGAGGCGGACAGGUGAGUAAUGUCUGUGAGACUGCCUGCUGGAGGGGGGUAACUACUGGAGACGGUAGCUAAUAUCGCAUACCAUCAGAUGUGCCCCGAUGGGAUUAGCUAGUGGGUGGGGUAAUGGCUCACCUAGGCGACGAUCCCUAGCUGGUCUGAGAGGAUGACCAGCCACACUGGAACUGAGACACGGUCCAGACUCCUACGGGAGGCAGCAGUGGGGAAUAUUGCACAAUGGGCGAAAGCCUGAUGCAGCCAUGCCGCGUGUGUGAAGAAGGCCUUCGGGUUGUAAAGCACUUUCAGCGGGGAGGCGUUACCCGCAGAAGAAGCACCGGCUAACUCCGUGCCAGCAGCCGCGGUAAUAC
rnacentral:rRNA from 1 species